AUGAAUCGGAGCGCUGUGAUUGGUGGGUUGAAGGCGUAUCGUGCUCACAGGAUCACAGUUGUGUCUGUCACAGCUCAAGGUGUGGAAAGCUCUGACAGUCUGUCCGUGACUGUUAUCACAGAGGUUAGUCCUCCACGCAGGGUCUCGGUUGAUUCUGUGGGUCUGGAGAACAUGACUGUGUGCUGGUGGCCUUCACUGGACGAGGAAGUUGAUAAAUAUUACAUCCAGCUCCACCCACAGACAAAUCAGGCUCAAACUAGAGAAUUCUGGGUAAAUGGCUCCACCUGCAUCUCUCUUACACAGCUCAAAUCAGGUGGGACAUACGAAGUGGGAGUUGCUGCAGUGAAGGGCAGAAAUAUGAGCAUAGUGACAACCAUACAACAGACUCUAAGUAUGAUUCAUUUCUGUUUUUAAUCUUCCAUUUCCUUCACGAUGCUUCUUUUUCAGUCUACAAAAUGUAUUUUCGAUUCUUCUUUCAGAACCUGAUAGCAUCCAGAUUGCUGUGCCAUACACAGUUGACACACACUCUGUGGAGCUCUUUGUGCAGUUGCCCAGAAACAGCAUUUAUGACGGCAUCACCGUUACUUACCAGAAUAAUCGAUCCUGGACACCAGUGUCCACAGACAGCACCAAACUGUUAGUCGACAACCUGAGUCCAGGAACACAGUAUGACUUUAAUGUGUUUGUGACCAGCAGAGACACGAGCAGUGAAGGCUUUGCUCUGCCACCUGUGAGAACCUGUGAGAAAACAUUUCAGAAACUUUUACUUUUAUUGCUGAAAAAGUACAAUACUGGUCAAAAGUCUGAAAUAUUUUGGAAGGUUUUUGAAAAAUGUCUCUUAUUCUCACUAAGUCUGCAGGUAUUUGACCAAAAAUACAGUAAAAACAGCAAUAUUAUGAAAUAGUAUUACAAUUUAAAAGUAUUAUUUGGAAUUUUAAUAUAAUAUUAAUAUAUAAUCUAUAAUACAAAUAUUAUUAUAAUUUAAAAUAGCUAUUUUCUAUUUUAAUAUAUUUUAAAAUGUAAUGUAUUCCUAUGAUGCAAAGCAGAAUUUUCAGCAUUACAUCAUGAAAUAUUACAUCAAAAAUAUUAAGCAACACAAAUGUUUU
rnacentral:lncRNA from 12 species